rnacentral:rRNA from 1 species
UACGGAGGGGGCUAGCGUUGUUCGGAAUUACUGGGCGUAAAGCGCACGUAGGCGGCUUUGUAAGUUAGAGGUGAAAGCCUGGUGCUCAACAUCAGAAUUGCCUUUAAGACUGCAUCGCUUGAACGUCGGAGAGGUGAGUGGAAUUCCGAGUGUAGAGGUGAAAUUCGCAGAUAUCAGGAAGAACACCUAUGGCGAAGGCAGCUCUCUGGGACGGUACUGACGCUGAGACGCGAAAGCGUGGGGAGCGAACAGG